rnacentral:snRNA from 1 species
AUGCUUACCUGGCAGGGAUGAUACUAUAAUCAUGAAGGUGGUUUUCCCAGGGUCAGGUUUAUGCGCCUGACUCCAGAUGUGCCACCCCUAUGAUUUCUCUGAACGUGGGAAACUCAAGUGUAUGAUUUGUAGCAAUGGGGGACUGA